rnacentral:rRNA from 1 species
AUGGGAUGUGAUUAUGGUCAUGCUGCUUAUUACGAAGCUACGGUGAGCAUUAUGAAGAUGAGCAGGCGAGUGGCUGAUAUAGAGAGCUCCUCGAACGGGGAAGUAGCAUUGCUGGAGGAACUCGAAGAUGAGAAGGAUCCGUUGUCAUGCCUUUGCCUUACUGCUGUGCUGAUACUGGAUGCAACAUUGUGGACCUUUGGUUCGAGCAUGGCCAGCAUCGCCACAGAUUGUAGGGGAGAAAUGUAUUGCCUAAUGAGUUGUAUGCUUUCUUCGGAUCCUCCGUGCUUCCUAUCACAUCUGGCUUGGCCACCUACAGAUUCUUGGGUCUAG